UACGUAGGGUGCAAGCGUUGUCCGGAUUUAUUGGGCGUAAAGAGCUCGUAGGCGGUCUGUCGCGUCGGAUGUGAAAACCCAGGGCUCAACCCUGGGCCUGCAUUCGAUACGGGCAGACUAGAGUAUGGCAGGGGAGAUCGGAAUUCCUGGUGUAGCGGUGAAAUGCGCAGAUAUCAGGAGGAACACCGGUGGCGAAGGCGGAUCUCUGGGCCGAUACUGACGCUGAGGAGCGAAAGCGUGGGGAGCGAACAGG
rnacentral:rRNA from 1 species